rnacentral:lncRNA from 1 species
AUGUGUUGCGUGCAUGUGUUGUGUGUGCGCGUGCAUGUGUGCAUGCAUGUGUGCACGCAUCAUGUUAUGUACGUGUGCAUGCGUUGUGUGUGUGCACGCGUGUGUGCAUGCGUGUGGUGUUGUGUGACAUUAUGUGCACAUGCAUGCGUUUUGUGUGUGCAUGUGCGUGUUCGUGUUGUGUGCGUGCAUGUGUUGUGUGCGUGCAUGUGUUGUGUGCGUGCAUGUGGCGUAUGUGUAUGCAUGCGUGCGUGUGGUGUGCGCAUGCAUGUGUGCAUGUGUUGUCUGCACACGUGUUGUGUGCAUGCGUGUGCAUGUGCAUGCAUUGUGUGUGUGCAUGUGUGCGUGCAUGUGGUGUGUGCAUUCAUGUGCACACUUGUGUACAUGCAUGUGGUGUGUGCGCACAUGUGUGCAUGCAUGCGGUGUGUGCGUGCAUAUGUGCACAUGUUGUCUGUGCGCAUGUGUGCGUGCGUGUGCACGUGCAUGCAUUGUGUGAGUGUGUGCAUGCAUGUGGUGUGUGCGUGCAUAUGUGCACAUGUCUGUGCGCAUGUGUGCAUGCAUGUGCACAUGCAUGCAUUGUGUGAGUGCAUGCAUGUGUGCAUGCAUGCACGUGCACAUGCACGUGUUGUGUGCGCGCAUGUGUUGUGUGCGUGCAUGUGUGCGUGUCUGCAUGCAUGCGUGCCUGUGGUGUGUGCAUGCAUGUGUGCAUGUGUUGUCUGCAUGCAUGUGUUGUGUGGCAUGCGUGUGCAUGUGCAUGCAUUGUGUGAGUGCGUGCCUGUGUGCAUGCCUCUGUGUAUGCAUUCAUGUUAUGUGCACGUGCAUGUGUUGUGUGCGUGCAUGUAUGCGUUUGUGUUGUGUGCAUGCAUGCACGUGCGCUCUCAUGUGUUGUGCGCGUGCAUGUGUUGUGCACAUGCAUGUGUGUGUGCGUGUGGUGUGUGCAUGCAUGUGCACGUGCAUGUGUUGUGUGUGUGUGGAUGUGUGCAUGCCUGUGUUGUGUGCAUGCCUGCAUGUGUGCACACAUGUGUUGUGUGCGUGCACAUGUUGUGUGCAUGCAUUCAUGUGUGUGUGUGCUCAUGUGUUGUGCAUGUGUGCGUGCGUAUGUCGUGUGCAUGCAUGUGUGCGUGUGUGUGGUGUGUGCAUGCAUGUGUGCAUGUGUUCUCUGUGCGCAUGUGUUGUGUGCAUGUGUGUGCAUGCAUUGCGUGCGUGUGUGCACGCCUGCACGCCUGUGUUGUGUGCAUGCCUGCAUGUGUACGUGCACGUUUUGUGUGCAUGCACGUGUGCAUGUGUUGUGUGCGUUCGUGCAGGUGUGCGUGCAUGCAUGCGCAUGGCCCAAUCCCUCGUGCAUCCCUCUCCCAUUUAGCUUUCAGCCUCACUGGAGGCUGCUCUAUAGAGCAACAGCUUUCUCAAAAACAGUGA